UACGAAGGGGGCUAGCGUUGUUCGGAAUUACUGGGCGUAAAGCGCGCGCAGGCGGCUCUUCAAGUCAGGGGUGAAAGCCCAGAGCUCAACUCUGGAACUGCCUUUGAGACUGAAGAGCUUGAGUACGGGAGAGGUGAGUGGAAUUCCCAGUGUAGAGGUGAAAUUCGUAGAUAUUCGCAAGAACACCAGUGGCGAAGGCGGCUCACUGGCCCGGUACUGACGCUGAGGUGCGAAAGCGUGGGGAGCAAACAGG
rnacentral:rRNA from 1 species